CAGAAACGCUAGCUACUUCCCAAUCACAUCUGUAUUUGGAGGGAGGAUACACAAGGGCUUGAUGCAAGACUGUGAGGGAAUUUAGUAUAAUGCAUUCUCUGGAAAGAUGGCUCUGAGAUGCCGCAGCCUGAUGAGCCGUACUACUGCUCACAGCAAAUACAAAUUCCCCCUGCUCUUCCUGACAUCCUAAAACAGUUUACAAAAGCUGCCAUAAGGACACAGCCUAAAGAUGUCCUCGGUUGGUCUGCAGCAUACUUCAGAGCAUUGGCUAAUGGUGAGACACCACCAGUUAAAGAGAGACUUGAGAUGCCAGUUGCAACACAAAAAACAGACACUGGUCUAACCCCAGGAUUACUUAGAAUUCUCAACAAACAGCUUGGCCCCAGAAAGACAGUAGACCUAAACAUAAUUGAAGAGAAGUGGAAAGAUCUAGCUCUACCUAAAGAACAGUUUGAUGAGCUAGUGAGAAUAGGUGGCUUUGGAGGAACCAUCGAAUGGUUGAGAUACUUUGCUCUUGGUUGCUCAGCAUUAGGAGAGAACAUCACAGAUGCCAUGAAGACCGUUUGUGAGAUCCUAACUGCAGAUCCCGAUGGUGGUCCAUCCAGAAUUCCAUUCCCCUUGUUUAAAGACCUUUACACAUAUCUAGCUAAAGUUGAUGGUGAAAUCUCACAGGAACACAUUAAUGAAGUCACAUCACACCUGCAAUAUUAUGUGGAUAAACAGGAAGGAUAUGUUCAACCAAGAAACUUCACCAGUCCAGAUUGCCCAAAGUUGUCGUAAAACAUGGACAUAACUUAUCAAUUACAAUACUAUGAUUUUCUUUAUCAUCACAUUUAAUAUCCAUGUUGAACUCAGUAAAUGAGAUUAAAUGAGAGCAAAUAUUCACUUAUGAUUUUCUCUAUCAUUACAUUCAAUAUCCACAUUGAAUUCAGUUUUAUAAUAUGCAAGAACAUUAUAUUCCCACAUGUGGCGUCUGGACAUUCAUUCAAUUGUAAAUCUCAGAGUUACUUUCUAUGUUUCAUUUUAGACCAAAGUCUCUAUUAUUCAUUCAAUUAUACACAUUAUAUCAAUAAUGGUGUUGAUCUACAUCUUCAAGUAGAUAUUGGGAACUGACAUCAAAUUAUUACAGCUGCUUGGCAUCUAUGCAGUUACUGUACAUAUUAUACUAAAAUUAGUUUCUACUGAAGUACCACUGUAUGAAGUGGAUGAUUCGAAUAUUACUUCUACAAAAUCAAUAUCACAUUUUUGUUAUAUACUUUUUGCUCAAUGUAAAGAUAUUUUUACAUGUUGAACUAAAAGGAGUAAAGACAAUCUAAACACAGAGCUGACAAGUAAUUACAAAUAUCUUUGUCAUAAAGUGAAUAAUGACAGGUGAUUUUAGUUCAUGUAUUGAUUUAGCCAUGCUGUAUUUUAUUGCCUACCAGGCCCUAAAUCAUUUAGGUUUAAUUUAUUUAAUUUUUAACAUAAUCAUAAAUGAUUUGAAAAAUUAUUUUUCAUGUACGAAUUGGCCAAAUUGAAACAGUUCUCUACUUUAUCUUUCACCAGUUUCAUUCCAUUUACAUUUUAUAGAAAUAUAAAAUGUUUCUUUGUACAUAUGUAUAUUUUAUGUAUUAAUAAAUAUAUAGUCUAAUGGUUAAAAAUAA
rnacentral:misc_RNA from 1 species